rnacentral:rRNA from 1 species
UACGUAGGGUGCAAGCGUUAAUCGGAAUUACUGGGCGUAAAGCGUGCGCAGGCGGUUUUGUAAGUCUGUCGUGAAAUCCCACGGCUCAACCGUGGAACUGCUGGGCAUACUGGACAUCUCGAGGCACUCAGGGGCGAGCGGAACAAGUGGUGGAGCGGUGAAAUGCGUAGAUAUCACUUGGAACGCCAAUGGUGAAGACAGCUCGCUGGGGGUGUCCUGACGCUGAGGCGCGAAAGCCAGGGGAGCGAACGGG